rnacentral:rRNA from 1 species
GACGAACGCUGGCGGCGUGCUUAACACAUGCAAGUCGAACGGAAAGGCCCUGCUUUUGUGGGGUGCUCGAGUGGCGAACGGGUGAGUAACACGUGAGUAACCUGCCCUUGACUUUGGGAUAACUUCAGGAAACUGGGGCUAAUACCGGAUAGGAGCUCCUGCUGCAUGGUGGGGGUUGGAAAGUUUCGGCGGUUGGGGAUUGACUCGCGGCUUAUCAGCUUGUUGGUGGGGUAGUGGCUUACCAAGGCUUUGACGGGUAGCCGGCCUGAGAGGGUGACCGGCCACAUUGGGACUGAGAUACGGCCCAGACUCCUACGGGAGGCAGCAGUGGGGAAUAUUGCACAAUGGGCGGAAGCCUGAUGCAGCAACGCCGCGUGCGGGAUGACGGCCUUCUGGUUGUAAACCGCUUUCGCCUGUGACGAAGCGUGAGUGACGGUAAUGGGUAAAGAAGCACCGGCUAACUACGUG